rnacentral:rRNA from 1 species
GUCUACAGCCAUGCCACCCUGAACGUGCCUGAUCUUGUCUAAUCUCGGAAGCUAAGCGGGGUUGGCCUGGUUAGUACUUGGAUGGGAGACCACCUAGGAAUACCAGGUGCUGUAGGCA